UACAGAGGGGGCGAGCGUUGUUCGGAAUUACUGGGCGUAAAGGGCGCGUAGGCGGCCUGCUAAGUCGAACGUGAAAUCCCCGGGCUCAACCCGGGAACUGCGUCCGAGACUGGCAGGCUCGAAUCCGGGAGAGGGAUGUGGAAUUCCAGGUGUAGCGGUGAAAUGCGUAGAUAUCUGGAGGAACACCGGUGGCGAAGGCGGCAUCCUGGACCGGUAUUGACGCUGAGGCGCGAAAGCCAGGGGAGCAAAGCGGG
rnacentral:rRNA from 1 species